AACCAACAAUAAGUCACCUUUAAUAGUACUGUAACAAUAUAUUUGUCAAAGCAGUAAUAAAUGGUUCUGGCUGUUUGAGCAGCAGCGUCUUUGCUGGCCCCUGCUUAUUACUAUAUUCAUGCAUAUUUAUCAAGUAACUAUAAUAAUGACAGUGACAGUAAGUAUUGGUCAAAGCAUCACUGAUUAGUUUCUUUCUUUUCACAUGAUGUACAGCAAGGUAUCAUAAUAGGCUAGGAAAAGACUAAAGAUGCUUUUUCAGAGGCCUGCAGGUGAAGAGCUGCUUACCCUUACACCAUUCUCAAUGCACGUGUGUGGGAGUAGGAGUUACAGCACAACUGAGCUGUUGAAACAACUAAGAGAAAAGCAGAGAUAUGUGAAGAUGCAGUUACCUGUCUUUUCCGAGUGGUUUUGUUCAAAGGCAUGGCCAUGGGGAAAUACCUUUACCUGUGAUCUAUAAUGUUAUUACAGCUGUAGCUGAGGGGAAUUUAUGGCAAUUCUAUAAAUUAAUGCAAUAACUGUAAAUAGCCUGGCAGUGCCCUUUUGCAGGCUGGUGAAUCAGAAUUGUUUAGAUAGGAAAAGACCUUUAAGAUCAUCAAGUCUAACUAUUAACCAUGUCCCUAAGCGCCACAUCUACACCUCUUUUAAAUACAGCCACUUCCCAGGGCAGCCUGUUCCAAUGCUUGACAACCCUUUCAGUGAAGAAAUUUUUCCUAAUAUCCAGUCUAAACCUCCCCAGGCACAGCUUGAGGCUGUUACUUCUUGUCCUAUUGCUUGUUACUUGGAAGAGGAGACCAACCCCACCUCACUACAACCUCUUGUCAGGUACUUGUAGAGGGCGGUAAGGUCCCCCCUGAGCCUUCUCUUCUCCAGACUGAACAACCCCAGUUCCCUCAGCCAUUCUUCAUAAGACUUGUGCUCCAGACCCUUCACCAACUUUGUUGCCCUUCCCUGGACCCACUCCAGCACCUCAGUAUCUUUCUUGUAGUGAGGGGCCCAAACUUGAACAUGUUAUUCAAGGUGCAGCCUUACCAGGACCAAGUAAACUUCCAGCCACUCUUCACCAAGCCUGCAUGGGGUUGUUGUAACCCAAGUGCAGCAACUCCUGUAAGAAGGGGAGUCAAAGAAUGGUUGAGGAUGGAAGGGGUGGCUGGAGGGCCUCUGGUCCAACCCUC
rnacentral:lncRNA from 1 species